GCUCAGUCAGUUAAGUGACAGACUCUUGGUUUCUGCUCAGGUCGUGAUCUUGUGGUUUGUGGGUUCAAGUCCCACAUUGGGCU
rnacentral:tRNA from 1 species